UAUUGAAUGACUAAAAUACCUCACCCCCAGUCCUGCACCACAAGGCACCAGCAGGGUAGAAUUGGAAAACACGGAACAACCUUUGCUAGAUUUCCCAAUAUAAAUAUUAGCCACUGCAGAUGUUCAAGCAGAUUAGGGUUUCUGUUGCCGCCACACUCCCUCCUCCCUGAAUGAGAUGUCUCUGCUUUGAUGCUUCCACAAAACCCUAAUCUCGUGGCUAUUUCAUUUGUUUCAUCCUGCACCUCCAUAUUUUCUUAAUAAUAACAAUAAUAAUUGGCGCAUUUCUUUUUUUCUCUCUCUUUUUCCCUCUUUCAGUGUCUCAAUUGACACUGCUAAAUUACUUGUUCCUUUUUUUCUUUUUCUUUUUCUUUUAUACUUCAGGGCCAUGUCUUGUUCUCUUCUGUUUCUCUGAACCAAAAGAGGCUGUGAAGAUUGUUUUGGAGUGUGGACCCGAUACGUCGGUCGCCGUCAAACAUUGGUCGCCGGUGGCGAGGCAACGUUAUCGCUUGUGUGAUCUUGUUGCAGCCAUCCGUGGUGGUGUUGUUUUUCGACUUCCGAUCUGUCGUUGUGAUAGAUCUGAGCCUCCGUGAUUCGCGCUCGAAUAUUUCCAUCGUCGGCAAUGUCUCAACGUAGUAUUUGUCAGAGGUGUAUGGAGUGAGAGAAGGGAAAAACGCCUUUCCCGAUCUCAUCGGUUAUUUCUUUCCUCUCUCAUUCCAUACAUCGUCCGACGAACGUAUCGUUGAUCGGUUCUGCAUGGUUUUGGUUUCACUUUGUACCCUCCCUGGAAACCCUAAUUUACUUUAAUUUUUUGGUAUUUGAGUAGUGUGUGACAUGUGGUCGAUGCGUUUGCUGUAUUUUAAUUUCAGGAUGGGCUUAAAGUGAAGUUCUGCUAUUCGGUUAUCUUCGAGCUGUCUAAGAAAACACGCUUGGUGUACAUUUCACGGAAUAACUAGUCACAAUAUUCUAUAUCAAUGUUUAUAUUUCUGAUUUUCUAUGUAAUGUUCAUCAACGGUUUGUAUAGGAGUUUGAACCGUACUUGUUCCAUUCAUGUAACAAUAUAUUUAUAGUUAGAUUGUAAUAGAAUCCAAUUCUUAAAUUGUUGUGUAAUUGUAUGAUUGGGGAAGUCAUUUAAAGUUGUUACGAUUGCAUUUGAAGAAAGAAGAUUAAUUAC